UAAUACCCAAAUCAGAAACUUUUUCCCAAUUCCCACUCAUUUCACGUAUUCCUUCACCGCCAUUCCCUUCCCCUUCUUCUUCCUUCUCAUUCCUUCCUUCUUCUUCUUCGAGCGACAGCAACACCGGCACCAUCUUCACCAUCUUCUUCCUCCUUCUUCUUGUAAUUGUUGGUGUAAACAAACUAAGGACCUCGAUUUAUAAGAGGGUGAAAUCGCCUGAGCAACGUGUGUGUUUGCAGCGUUAAGUAGGUUGAUUGCAGGUGGGGGCUGGAGUGAGGACUCAGCUUAGAACCCGUAACCAUCUAGUCUAAGAUAUACUUUGUAACAAGUUUAUGAGUCGAAAUAUCUCAGUUUAUGUAAAGAAAGUUUAUGACGUUUUUCUUUUUAUUUCGUACAACUUUUAGCUAGUCUAGAGGCCAGUAGGCUCUCGAGUUGUAUGUAAAGACUUCCGCUGACUUGUUUUAUUUUGUUUGACGUUGUUUUCUGCAUUGACCAUAUUCCUUUACCGUUGGAACGUUGACGAUCCGAGUAAAAAAAAAUUAUUUUUUUUUCUUGUGUCCGUUUGUGAACCGGAAUCAUGUUUUCAUAUGAUUUUCCGGGUCACUUAAACCGGGCCGUUACAUGAUUAGUAUUGGUUUUUGGAUUAUUUGAUUUCUAGUAUAAAGUUUGAUAUUUAUUGAAAUUUCAGUCUGGAAUUUGAACGUUCUGUUUUGGCCACUUUAAAAGUAGUUCUAAUUGUUUUUGGGUUCUGGUUCCUUCACAAGAAUUGUAGAGCUCCGAGUCGCGGUCGCGUGGACACUUAAAUCGCCCCAAAAUGAGUUUGUAUGAGGAAGUUAUACCCAAAAUACUAGCAGGGUGUCUUGUAAAUUCGAAAAUGAUAUUUUUGAUUUACUUGUUCAUAAUUAAAGUUGGAGAUCAAAUUGAGUACUCUUUUUAUCAUGUGUUAAACGCUAAAUUUUAUUGAAUCUUGAAUUUAUAUAAACUAAUUAGAUAAGUUAUGUUGAUUGGGAUUAUUAGUUGGAUAUGAGAUAGUGGAUAAUUAUUGUUAGGAAGUAGGAAUUUAUGGCUAAUGAUGAUGAUGAUGUCCUGAUUUUGGUUUGGUUAAUGAAUUUCUCAUGUAAAUGCUAGUUGUUCAAGGUGGUUUUGACGAUGAUGAUGACAAGUAAUUGAGUAAAGUGAUGCUCUUAGAUGAUAUAUUAGAUGUUUGUUGAUUUGAGAACUUGUUAUGGGUAUUAUGUUGAUUGAUAGAUUUAGGUGAAGUUGAGAUUAAUCAUUUUGAUUGUGGAUAAAUAAUGUUAAAUAUAGGUCGAGAAAUAUAUGAAUGUGGUGGAAUAUUGGAUAAUCGGGGUUCUUGAUUUAAUUAUAUGAUUCUUAAAAGUAUUGGUAAUGAUGAGUUAAAAUGUCUAUCUUUUUGUAGUAGUUGGAAUUACAAAGGAAACUAAGGAAGUUAUAGACGUUGUUAAUCUUGAAGAAAAAUUGACACUUAUAGGUCAUGGUUAUAAAAUCUUGGUGGAAAAUCGGGAGAUUAGAAUAGAACAUGUGAGAUUUAAAUGAUUCGAAAUAUUAGAAUAGCUAUUGGAUCUAUGCAUUGUUAGGAAGAGUAGUAAUGAAUUAAAUAAACCUAGCCGUAGUAUCGUAUGCGUUGUUGUGAUGCU